rnacentral:rRNA from 1 species
GACGAACCGUGCGAACGUUGUUCGGAAUCACUGGGCUUAAAGGGCGCGUAGGCGGCCACCGCAAGUCGGUUGUGAAAUCUCUGGGCUUAACCCAGAAAGGUCAACCGAUACUGCGGGGCUAGAGUGCAGAAGGGGCAACUGGAAUUCUCGGUGUAGCGGUGAAAUGCGUAGAUAUCGAGAGGAACACCUGCGGCGAAGGCGGGUUGCUGGGCUGACACUGACGCUGAAGCGCGAAAGCUAGGGGAGCGAACGGG